AUUGAAAUAUCUGUUCUCGUUCGAUCACUGAAGUUAAGCAACGUCGAGAAUGGUCAGUACCUAGAUUGGUGACCACUUGGGAAUACCAGGUGCUGUAAG